CGCGUAUACAACCUACCUUAUACAGGGGUAUAGCCCAGGGAAACUUGGAUUAACACCCCAUAGUAAUAUGUUUUGGCAUCAUUGCAUAUUUAAAACUACGGUGGUAUAAGAUGGGUAUGCGUCCCAUUAGCUUGUUGGUGUGGUAACGGCACACCAAGGCAACGAUGGGUAGGGGCCCUGAGAGGGGGAUCCCCCACACUGGUACUGAGACACGGACCAGACUCCUACGGGAGGCAGCAGUGAGGAAUAUUGGACAAUGGGCGGGAGCCUGAUCCAGCCAUGCCGCGUGCAGGAAGACUGCCCUAUGGGUUGUAAACUGCUUUUAUACGGGAAGAAACCCACCUACGUGUAGGUGGCUGACGGUACCGUAAGAAUAAGGACCGGCUAACUCCGUGCCAGCAGCCGCGGUAAUACGGAGGGUCCGAGCGUUAUCCGGAAUCAUUGGGUUUAAAGGGUCCGCAGGCGGCCAGAUAAGUCAGUGGUGAAAUUCCGUGGCUCAACCACGGAACUGCCAUUGAUACUGUUUGGCUUGAAUCAGUUCGAGGAUGCCGGAAUGUGUGGUGUAGCGGUGAAAUGCAUAGAUAUCACACAGAACACCAAUUGCGAAGGCAGGUGUCCAGAACUGUAUUGACGCUGAUGGACGAAAGCGUGGUAAGCUAUUACACGACCUAACCUGCAAUCGGUCUUAAUGCGGGUA
rnacentral:rRNA from 1 species